ensembl:snoRNA Gm25821 small nucleolar RNA SNORA21
CCCCCUUUAAAAGCACUCAGUGGGCCUUUUGCUACUGACCCACUGAGCCGUCAAGAAGAGACAGAGUAAAAUCGUCACUUUUGGGUGAAGUGGCAACAUGUGUUGUUUGCUUCAAUUGGUGUCGUGACAAGA